GAUCUCUUCAGUAAUUGCGCAUGAACCAGGAUAUGCUUAGCUUGACAAAUGGAGCUGCUGGCUCUGAAUUGUAUUGUGGGAAUGUAUUACCAACCAGAGGUGCAGGUGUCAGCCAUUUGAAAGAAAGCAUCAAUGAGGGUGAGAGUCCUGUUUGUCAUGUGCAGCCUUCUGUGCACGGUGUAUAUUUGCUGAGUCACACUCCUUGGGCAUUGGAAUGCAAAGUGGGUGGUAAGUUUCAUGCAAAGGUAAAUAUGCAAUUGAGACUGAUAGCGCACAAGUACCAUGAGGGACAUAUGAAAAGGACUUUGAAAAGAGAAUUAAAUGAGUUUGUAUUUGCUAAACACAAAGUAAACAGACUUGAUUUCCUCAGUGAGAUUGUAGUGCUUGCUUAACAAUGGGUUUUGGCUGCAAGUGCAAUAAUUCUUGCUUUGUGUGCCAGUUUUUAUGUGGACAUUUGAUUACCUUUGCACAUGAAUGGUAAUUUUCCUGCGGGGUGUGGAUUGCAUAUGCAUGUAAUGAUUUGCAUGUUUGUUAAAUGUGUCUGGUGUAUUUGUUUGUGUCCUUGUCCUUGAGGUUGCUUUCUCCCUUGGGCUUACAUGCCCUGGCACACACAUUCUGGCAAAAUGCUUCUGCUUGACCCGUCUUGAAACACGGACCAAGGAGUCUAACAGAUGUGCAAGUUUGAAGGUGGUAUACCUGUGUGUGUAAUGAAAGUAUUGGCUGGGAUAUUUGCACCAGCAGCCGACUAAUUAGCAGACAGAGGUUUGAGUUGGAGCA
rnacentral:rRNA from 1 species